UACGGGGGGGGUAAGCGUUGUUCGGAAUUACUGGGCGUAAAGGGCUCGUAGGCGGCCAACUAAGUCAGACGUGAAAUCCCUCAGCUUAACUGGGGAACUGCGUCUGAUACUGGAUGGCUUGGAUUUGGGAGAGGGAUGCGGAAUUCCAGGUGUAGCGGUGAAAUGCGUAGAUAUCUGGAGGAACACCGGUGGCGAAGGCGGCAUCCUGGACCAAUAUUGACGCUGAGGAGCGAAAGCCAGGGGAGCAAAGCGGG
rnacentral:rRNA from 1 species